rnacentral:lncRNA from 1 species
ACUGAUACAUCUUCUUUACUCCAUCCCCUUUUGAAUCCUCAAAAAAGUUUUUAGGCAUAUAAAUGUCCUAUAAUGGCUCUGUGGCAGUCGAAAGAAGGCUUGAGGUUUACAACUGGGUUAACACGGAACAAAAACAAUAUUUACAAGAACGCAACAUGUUCCAUAAUCUAAAACCAUUUGCAAAAACAGGAUCAGGGGUGACAAUGAGACUAUAAGCUCCUAGAAAAUUUGCAGAAGUGUGGGAAUGGGCUUUGACUUCCACAGAGCAUGGAAUGAGGGAGGUUUCAGGAACUUUAUUUAGAUCUAAGGGGGCAAGCAAUCCUCAAAUGACUAUUUUUAUAUUCAGGGUGCUAUGAGUGAAAAGUCUUUGCUUUACAUCCCAAGGAUGAAGCACAAAGUCUACACUUUUCUGGUUGCCUCACCCAAAUAGAGAUUUCCCCCUCCAUUUCUGUUUUUCAUAUAGGUUACUGAUUGUCUUUAAGGCAUUAAUGAUAUCAAAAAAUUUUAGCUAUGCACCCCCCACCCAAGACUCUAAGCUUGGUGAGGACAAGGGGUGCCUGUUUUAUCCUCCAUUGUAUACCUGGCACCUAAAACAGUGCCUAUCACACACUCCACAGAUUUUAGUUGAAAUUAAUGAAAUGGAAUCUCUAAGUGUGGAAGCCUCAAAUAGUCCCCCACUGUCCUCAGAGAAUCACUUCUUACUACAAUUUUG